AGCAAACGCAUUAAAUUGUUCCUGGCAUCGGGAGCUCAGCAUUGCAUUUAUAGAGCAAAGGGCAAUUCAGACAGAAAAGUGGGUCUUCCUGGCUAGUGCAUGCCUGAAAAGGAGAUUUUUUUUAAUUAACUCAGUUAUCAGAUUAAACUAAUAGUAUUUUUUCUAGGAAAAGAAGAAAGAAACGUCAGUCAGACCAACCACCCCAUCAUAUAUUAAAUGUAACAUUCUUUUUUUCACAAAGUAUUACUUUAGAACAUAUCUAUCAUCCCUUGCCCUUGUGAAGUCUUAUCCACUGUGACCGUGCUGGCUUUCAUGAACGCUCCUGCACACAAGAGGUGGUCAAGUGAUGCCAGUGUUUCAUGAAGUGGACCCUGAAGACUCGCAGCUCCAACACCUGUGGGUCACGUGAACGGGAACAAAGCACCAACUUCUCUUGUCACCUUCACUCUGGUUCCAGAGCUCAGCACUGGCACCACUAGGCAAAGGUACCUGUGUGAGCACUGAAAAGGACACGCUUUGCAAGAAUCAGCUUUUUUUUUCUUGCUGUUGUCUGGCCGGCAGAUGAAAAGUCCCGAAAGGUCCCUCUCAAGGUCCUUCUGAACUCAGUCGUCUUUGCCUCCAUUAGUACUCUCCACAGUUGGUAAAGUGAAGACUGCAUGGAUUCCUCAUAAACGUCUCAUUAGCAAAGCUUGUGCAUCCUCAGCUUCUCCUAGAAGGGGUCAUCUUACCCAGGGAGUGGGCCAGAGAGAAUCCUGUGGGAUCAGAGCCUCUCCCAGCACAGCAGCUCCCAGGGACAUGAACCGCACCACCCUCAGCAUUGCCCUAAUCUCUUCUAAGGUCUACGGCAAUGAUGGUGUCACCUUGGUUUAUGACAAGAUCCUGAGCAGCGUCCUUUAGUGGUAACACCUAUACUUCAGAAUCAUAUAACAGCCAUUGUGAGAAGUACACAUUGGCUUAUGGAAUGUUUCACAGAAAGAGAAUAAAAAUAUUAUGAACAAAUAAAGAAAGUCUGAGUACUGCCUUCCUGUCAGCAGAUUAGUCUGCUGUUAGUUUUAAAAUAACCAAGAUGAAAUGAAGGAAGGAAGGAGAGAGAAAAGGGAGAAAAAUACAUAAGGAAAAGACAUGAAUUCGCACAGUGAUACAUAUUCAAGGUGUAAAUACUGUUUUUCUGUGUGCCCUGGACGUGUUUAGUUAUAGAGCUGGCUGCUGUUAAUCAC
rnacentral:lncRNA from 1 species